rfam:Ictidomys tridecemlineatus contig108765, whole genome shotgun sequence.
AGAGUUGUGGCUCAGUGGUAGAGCGCUUGCCUCACAAGUGCGAGACCCUGGGUUCGAUCCUUAGCACCACAU